UACGUAGGGUGCGAGCGUUAAUCGGAAUUACUGGGCGUAAAGCGUGCGCAGGCGGUUCGUUAAGUCAGCUGUGAAAGCCCCGAGCUUAACUUGGGAAUUGCGGUUGAAACUGGCGGACUAGAAUCUGGCAGAGGGGGGUGGAAUUCCACGUGUAGCAGUGAAAUGCGUAGAGAUGUGGAGGAACACCGAUGGCGAAGGCAGCCCCCUGGGCUGAGAUUGACGCUCAGGCACGAAAGCGUGAGGAGCAAACAGG
rnacentral:rRNA from 1 species